rnacentral:rRNA from 1 species
UGGGGAAUAUUGGACAAUGGGCGCAAGCCUGAUCCAGCCAUGCCGCGUGUGUGAAGAAGGCCUUCGGGUUGUAAAGCACUUUUGUCCGGAAAGAAAUCCUGUCGGCUAAUACCCGGCGGGGAUGACGGUACCGGAAGAAUAAGCACCGGCUAACUUCGUGCCAGCAGCCGCGGUAAUACGAAGGGUGCAAGCGUUACUCGGAAUUACUGGGCGUAAAGCGUGCGUAGGUGGUUUGUUAAGUCUGAUGUGAAAGCCCUGGGCUCAACCUGGGAACUGCAUUGGAUACUGGCUUACUAGAGUGCGGUAGAGGGUGGCGGAAUUCCCGGUGUAGCAGUGAAAUGCGUAGAUAUCGGGAGGAACAUCCGUGGCGAAGGCGGCCACCUGGACCAGCACUGACACUGAGGCACGAAAGCGUGGGGAGCAAACAGGAUUAGAUACCCUGGUAGUCCACGCCCUAAACGAUGCGAACUGGAUGUUGGGAGCAACUAGGCUCUCAGUAUCGAAGCUAACGCGUUAAGUUCGCCGCCUGGGAAGUACGGUCGCAAGACUGAAACUCAAAUGAAUUGAC